AGAGUUUGAUCAUGGCUCAGAUUGAACGCUGGCGGCAGGCCUAACACAUGCAAGUCGAACGGUAACAGGAAGCAGCUUGCUGCUUCGCUGACGAGUGGCGGACGGGUGAGUAAUGUCUGGGAAGCUGCCUGAUGGAGGGGGAUAACUACUGGAAACGGUAGCUAAUACCGCAUAAUGUCGCAAGACCAAAGAGGGGGACCUUCGGGCCUCUUGCCAUCGGAUGUGCCCAGAUGGGAUUAGCUUGUUGGUGGGGUAACGGCUCACCAAGGCGACGAUCCCUAGCUGGUCUGAGAGGAUGACCAGCCACACUGGAACUGAGACACGGUCCAGACUCCUACGGGAGGCAGCAGUGGGGAAUAUUGCACAAUGGGCGCAAGCCUGAUGCAGCCAUGCCGCGUGUAUGAAGAAGGCCUUCGGGUUGUAAAGUACUUUCAGCGGGGAGGAAGGGAGUAAAGUUAAUACCUUUGCUCAUUGACGUUACCCGCAGAAGAAGCACCGGCUAACUCCGUGCCAGCAGCCGCGGUAAUACGGAGGGUGCAAGCGUUAAUCGGAAUUACUGGGCGUAAAGCGCACGCAGGCGGUUUGUUAAGUCAGAUGUGAAAUCCCCGGGCUCAACCUGGGAACUGCAUCUGAUACUGGCAAGCUUGAGUCUGAGUAGAGGGGGGUAGAAUUCCAGGUGUAGCGGUGAAAUGCGUAGAGAUCUGGAGGAAUACCGGUGGCGAAGGCGGCCCCCUGGACGAAGACUGACGCUCAGGUGCGAAAGCGUGGGGAGCAAACAGGAUUAGAUACCCUGGUAGUCCACGCCGUAAACGAUGUCGACUUGGAGGUUGUGCCCUUGAGGCGUGGCUUCCGGAGCUAACGCGUUAAGUCGACCGCCUGGGGAGUACGGCCGCAAGGUUAAAACUCAAAUGAAUUGACGGGGGCCCGCACAAGCGGUGGAGCAUGCGGUUUAAUUCGAUGCAACGCGAAGAACCUUACCUGGUCUUGACAUCCACGGAAGUUUUCAGAGAUGAGAAUGUGCCUUCGGGAACCGUGAGACAGGUGCUGCAUGGCUGUCGUCAGCUCGUGUUGUGAAAUGUUGGGUUAAGUCCCGCAACGAGCGCAACCCUUAUCCUUUGUUGCCAGCGGUCCGGCCGGGAACUCAAAGGAGACUGCCAGUGAUAAACUGGAGGAAGGUGGGGAUGACGUCAAGUCAUCAUGGCCCUUACGACCAGGGCUACACACGUGCUACAAUGGCGCAUACAAAGAGAAGCGACCUCGCGAGAGCAAGCGGACCUCAUAAAGUGCGUCGUAGUCCGGAUUGGAGUCUGCAACUCGACUCCAUGAAGUCGGAAUCGCUAGUAAUCGUGGAUCAGAAUGCCACGGUGAAUACGUUCCCGGGCCUUGUACACACCGCCCGUCACACCAUGGGAGUGGGUUGCAAAAGAAGUAGGUAGCUUAACCUUCGGGAGGGCGCUUACCACUUUGUGAUUCAUGACUGGGGUGAAGUCGAAACAAGGUA
rnacentral:rRNA from 1 species